rnacentral:rRNA from 1 species
AGCAGCCGCGGUAAUUCCAGCUCCAAUAGCGUAUAUUAAAGUUGUUGCAGUUAAAAAGCUCGUAGUUGAAUUUCGGGGUUAGUAGGUUGGUCAUGCCUCUGGUAUGUACUGGUCUCACUGAUUCCUCCUUCCUGAAGAACCAUGAUGUCAUUUAUUUGGUGUCGUGGGGAAUCAGGACUGUUACUUUGAAAAAAUUAGAGUGUUUAAAGCAGGCUCACGCUUGAAUACAUUAGCAUGGAAUAAUGAAAUAGGACGUUUGAUUCUAUUUUGUUGGUUUCUAGGAUCGACGUAAUGAUUAAUAGGGAUAGUUGGGGGCAUUAGUAUUCAAUUGUCAGAGGUGAAAUUCUUGGAUUUAUUGAAGACUAACUACUGCGAAAGCAUUUGCCAAGGAUGUUUUCAUUAAUCAAGAACGAAAGUUAGGGGAUCGAAGACGAUCAGAUACCGUCGUAG